UACAGAGGAGCCAAGCGUUGUCCGGAUUGACUGGGCGUAAAGCGCACGCAGGCGGGUGCGCGCGUGGGGUGUGAAAUCUGGCCGCUUAACGGCCAGGCGCCAUCCCAUACGGCGCGCCUGGAGCCUUGCAGAGGUCGGUGGAAUUGCCGGUGUAGUGGUGAAAUGCGUAGAUAUCGGGAGGAACACCAGUGGCGAAGGCGACUACCUGGCCUGUUCUUGACGCUGAGGCGCGAAAGCUAGGGGAGCAAACGGGG
rnacentral:rRNA from 1 species